GCGGCCGUGGCGGAACUGGUAGACGCGCAAGACUAAGGAUCUUGUGAUAGAAAUAUCGUGGAGGUUCAAGUCCUCUCGGCCGCACCA
rnacentral:tRNA from 1 species